rnacentral:rRNA from 1 species
UACGUAGGGUGCGAGCGUUAAUCGGAAUUACUGGGCGUAAAGCGUGCGCAGGCGGUUCGUCGUGUCCGAUGUGAAAGCCCCGGGCUCAACCUGGGAAUGGCAUUGGAAACUGGCGGACUCGAGUGUGGCAGAGGGGGGUGGAAUUCCGCGUGUAGCAGUGAAAUGCGUAGAGAUGUGGAGGAACACCGAUGGCGAAGGCAGCCCCCUGGGUCAAGAUUGACGCUCAUGCACGAAAGCGUGGGGAGCAAACAGG